rnacentral:snoRNA from 1 species
NNCAGAGAGAGCAGACUCCAGUGCCCUGGCCGUCAUGUCUUUGAUGCCGACGGCUGCCCAUCUGCUAGUUCUAUCCUCAAACACCGAGACAAGG